rnacentral:rRNA from 1 species
AUGUAUAGGGGAAACCCUACUUGUACCAUGAAAACUGGUGUAAGAUCGACUAUGUCGUAUAAAGUUCUAGUUAGUACUAUGAUAAUGACAUUGUCUGGCUAUGUGUCUUGACCAAAUUACGUGCCAGCUGUCGCGGUAAUACGUAGAAGACUAGUGUUAUUCAUGUUUAAUCGGUUUAAAGGGUACCUAGACGGCAGAUCAAGCCUUGGCAUGAGGGACUAAUCUAGCUAGAGUUUCUUAUGAGGAAGAUAUAAAGUACUGCUGGUGUAGAGAUGAAAUUCUGUCAUACCUUUUUCCGCUAGGGAAGCGACGGCACAGGUAAAGGCGAAGGCGUCUUCUUAUGGGAUAACUGA